rnacentral:rRNA from 1 species
AUUGAACGCUGGCGGAAUGCUUUACACAUGCAAGUCGAACGGCAGCACGGGGGCAACCCUGGUGGCGAGUGGCGAACGGGUGAGUAAUACAUCGGAACGUGCCCAGUCGUGGGGGAUAACGUAGCGAAAGUUACGCUAAUACCGCAUACGAUCUACGGAUGAAAGCGGGGGACCGUAAGGCCUCGCGCGAUUGGAGCGGCCGAUGUCAGAUUAGGUAGUUGGUGAGGUAAAGGCUCACCAAGCCGACGAUCUGUAGCUGGUCUGAGAGGACGACCAGCCACACUGGGACUGAGACACGGCCCAGACUACUACGGGAGGCGGCAGUGGGGAAUUUUGGACAAUGGGCGCAAGCCUGAUCCAGCCAUUCCGCGUGCAGGACGAAGGCCUUCGGGUUGUAAACUGCUUUUGUACGGAACGAAAAGGCUCUGGUUAAUACCUGGGGCUCAUGACGGUACCGUAAGAAUAAGCACCGGCUAACUACGUGCCAGCAGCCGCAGUAA